UCUUUCUCCUCUUCCUCUUCCUUCUCCUCCUCCCCAGUGUGGCCACAUUGGCAAAGUCUUAGCUUUCAGUUUUUUCUUUAAUUCACACAGUGAAGACAGAUGGUGGCCUGUCUAAUUGUUAAGCCUACCAGGGCUUAGGCUCCGACCCUGACAGCUCUGACACCAACUUCAUCUACCUGUAGCAGCACCCUGAUCUUCAUGCACCUUAUUUUAGGGGGGAAAGGGUGUGUGUGGGGGGGGAGCCAUGGGCAAGUCCAGGCAGCAGGCAAUUGGGUGGAAACAUCCUACACGACCACACCCUGAGUCCUCUAGCCUAGGAAAAUGUAAAGGGGACUCUGAGAAGGAGCCUCCUAAAUGAAUCAAGAUCCAGGCAUAUCAUCAGAGGCUUCAGCUGCCCCAGAAAGCAGCUCAGGAUUUUAUUAUAUUUCCUCUUUUUUUUCCUGUGAGGCAUUUUUUUUACACCAAUGUUUUACAUCCUAGAAAAAUAACCUAAGGUUUUCCUUCCUGUGUGAUUUUGUCUUGCUUCUUCAUAGUUCAUGAUGUCAGCUGAGGUUGACAGUACAAUAAAACCAAACCGAUGUGACAGGAGAGGUGAUUUUGCUACUCUCUAGGUCUUGGAGCUGCACAUCAAACCUGGAGCUCAUCACUCCAGGUUUGCUUAGCCUGUGUGUGAGGUUGACAACAUUCUUCCUAGAUCUAAUGAUCAACAAUUCCAAAUUCUCAGGUGCAACCAGGCUUAAUCUUCGCAGUCAGAAACAAGACAAUCACCUCAGAGCAUGCCAGUAAGGAACUGACACUUGCUUCUCUCUUUAGUUUUCUUGAGAGUUCAGCCAGGACAUUCAUGUGUACUGUUAAUGGUGGCAUGGACGACAGGCAGAAAGAGAGGGGGCAGGCUGGAGAGAUGGUGAAGGGAGUUGGGACUUUUCAGAAUCCAUAGUUGAGGCAGCAAGCAGACUAGAGACCGGGCAUGCUGGACAAGCUUGAAGCAAGGUUGUGGUUGAGCCAUUGCACAAACAGAUGGGCCAUAAAAGAUAAGGAGCAUGCCUGAGAAAACUCCUAUGGGUCAUACACUAUCUGGACUGGAGUCUCCUGUCUCCUGUCCCUUAGAUGCAGCUUAAAAUGACCUUCCUGCUAACAAAAAUAAACCACCCUCCUACAUUGCUGAUGGCCCGAUCUGCACGUAUGCAAAAAACCAAAAAAACAAAAAAACAAAAAACAAAACAAAAAAAAACCCCACCCUGCGCGUCAGAAUCCCCUGCCAAUGUUUGAAUCAGCAAAUCAUGUGUAACCGCACCAACCCCCCCUGAUAACCCCCCUGACUUUUCCUAUAUAAACCCCUAACUUUUGAGCCUCAGGGUCGACUCCACUGUCUCCUGUGUUGGCCCAGAACUCUGAUAAUGAACUACCUCAUGCGUUUGCAUCAAGUCGGUCUCUCGCAUGUCCUUGGGUGUAUGCUAUCCGGAGAAUGGAGUGGGGGUCUCCCCAAAAGGAGGUCCUACAUUUGGUGGCCCGUACAGGAAAAUUGGUGGCACCCAGGAACCUCGAAGACCCCUUGGAGCCCACCAAAAUCAGGUCAUGUGACUCAGAACAACUCAGAACAAAAGGACAGACAAAAUAUUUGGACUCUGACACUCCCUGGAAAAUAAGCCUUAACAAGAAGCUCAAUGUGGCUGGUGCGAGUAUUAUGGUACAUUAAAUUGGUACAGAUGGUUUAUUUCUUUUAUUUUAACUUGUUUAAAUUGUUAUGAUCAAUAUGAUGUUAAACUUUGUGGUUAUAUUGUUCCUCUGGGAGAGAGGUCAAAAUAAGGGAGACCUCCAGAAGACUAGAUUCUAAAAUAUUAAAUGAAAAAACUGUCUUUGUGAUACUAAAAUCUUGUUUUGAGAUUUACAUUACAGAAAAUAGCACUUCUCUUCAUAUCAACAUCCAUGUUCAGACUGAAGAAACGGUCUUUCUAAAAAAAUAUAAAAAUGGUCAGAUUUAAAACGGGGAGAAAAUAAAAUUAAUUUCAUUUGAUACAAAUCUUUAUAAUUGUUAUUAAGUUCAAAGCAUAAGUUUUUAUUUGAUACAGGUUUUAUUGGUAUAAAUACUAAAUUUGAAAGUACAGGAUUUACACCCAGCUCUUUGUUAUUAUCACCGAGCUGAGGUGUUUAAGCCUGUGAGUUUAGGGCCAAAUAGAAGUUUAAGGCUCUGAGUUUAUUGUUAGGGUGUUUUCUAGGUUUUAAUCAGAAAUAGCUGAAGAUAGUUUAACAGACAACAGUCCAUAUUACUUUACAUAGAUAGCUGGUUUUCAAAAAUGUCAAAAAUCCAUGGAAUAUAAUGUUUAAGUCUUAAAAGCUAUGUUAAGCUUUCUAUAUAUUUUUAGUUAAUAUUGGUCACUCUUAGAUUUCUGAUGGUAUUGAAGACUGUUAGUCUCACAGACAGCCCAAGCUGUUUAAUCCUGAGAAAGCUGAUAUAGAUUUAAAUAAAUGAUUUUCAGGUAACAUAAAAUUUAAAGCCAGGACACGAGUCAAUUCUUACAAUGUUAAUUUUUAAGUGUUAAUUCUGACAGUCUUUUAAGAUAAUACAGAUAAAAAGGUUCAGUUUAAUUGACAGGGAUGAUAAACUAAGUGUUAUGUCUAUCUCAUAGUUUAUAAUUUACAAAAUGGUAAUAAUUAUGCUCAAUUGAUAUUUAGAGAGGACCACAGAGUGGAGCAGGAGAGGACCUGAGACCACCUAUCCUGAUACCAUGGUAGCUCUCUCACUAAGGGAAUAUUUCCCAAGAGACUAAUUAAUCUCUUUGAGACUGUUUUAUUUGUAAUACAGGAAGCCAAGAAGAUUACCCCCUCAGACAAAAGGUAAGAGGCAGACCAACACCAGACUCCAUUGGCAGGUCUCGAGGGCCUGGCAGCCCACAAAUUUGACCAAGGUAUGUAAGGUUAAGCAGGGACCAGAUGAGUCACCUGCAGCUUUUCUAGAGCAGCUCAUAGAGGCAUUCUGUCCGUAUACAUGCUAUGAAUCUGGGGCAAGGACUAUAAAGCUAUUAUAUUAUGACAAUGGCUUUUAUAGACGGGGCUAAUAGAGAUAUCAGGAAAAAGCUUCAGAGGCUAGAGGGAUUUGGUGCAGGUUUCUGAGAAGGACUCUGAAUGUGGAGAGGGCGUAGUGAAGGGAUAGAACCUUUAGAAGAUGGUCUUUGAAGAUAGAGUCUAGUAAAAGUGGGGACACGUGACGAGCAGUUUGGAGGCAAAUAGAAGAGCUAGUUUGCUCCUUCAGCUAUGUUUCCUUGCCUUAGAAAUAAAAAGUCUAUAGAAAGAUUUAGUACAGUUUGCUGAGACAGGGAGACAGAGAAAGAGAAGGCAUGGAGGAAAAAAAGAAAGAAAGAAAAUGACAGAGAAAAAAGCUACAGAGGAUCCUGACUAUAAUAGUGAGAAAAAGCAGAAAAGGGAGACAGAAAAGGACCAGUGUGCAUACUAUAAGGAAAGAGGCCACUGAGCCAGAGUGUGCCCUAAGAGAUAGAAGCUGGGAGUAGGAAUUCCCAGGUCUUGAGAAAAGUGCACCCAAAUGGUAAACCCAGGUGUUAACCCUGGGUGAAGACAGUGACUAGGGGAGAUGGGUUUUCUGACCACCUUCCCCAACCCAGGAAAACUGUGGGAAUGAAAGAGAAACCCACUCAGUUCUUGGUGGACACACAGGCUCAACACUAGGUCUUUCAAGCCAAUGGCGCUGUUUCCAAGAAAAGAUCUUGGGUCCAAGAAGCCACUGGCACCAAAAUGUAUUCAUGGACUACCCAAAGAACAGUGGACCUAGGGAUGGGAUGGGUAGCCCAUUCAUUUAGGGUCACCCCAGACUGUUCCUACUCUCUGUUGGAGUGAGACAUACUCUCCAAAAUGGGGAGGGGGCAGAUAUGCUUCCUGCCCAAGGGGCUGCAACUAACUGGCCCAAAAAGAGAGACUGACCCCUGCUGAAAGUCGCUACAGACAGGAGCAGUUUUCUCCACGAUGGACAGAGAUAAGCAGGUGCUGCUAUGGUGGAUGGCACAAAUGUCAUCUGGGUGCCAGAAUCUUUACCCCCUGGCAUGUCAAUGCAGAAAGUGGAGCUCGUUGCUCUCACCAAGACCUUGGAACUUGGAACCAGCAAGAAAAUCAACAGCCAUAUGGAUAAUAGGUAUGCCUUUGCCACAGCCCACGUUCACAGGGAUAUAUGCCAAGAGGACUGCUCACAUCAGAGGAAACCAACAGGAAAUUGUGGACUUCUUAGAUGUCCUAAUGAAGCCAGCCACUGUGAAUAUUCACUGGCCAGGACAUCCAAAGGGAAAAGACUAAAUGGACAAUAACCAGGCAGAGCAAAUGGCUCCAGGAAUGGAUGUACAGGAGCCUAUACUGGUUAUGGGUCUGUAAGAGACAGCCACUGGGAAAUGGAACAAAAUUAAGAAAGAGCCUCACUUAAAAAAGACUGAAAUUGCUAAUUACCCUACCAACUAUUGCCAAGAGAAGGUGCACACAAGAAGGGAGAACUAUACUCCCCAGAAAGUAAGCCAAAGACUCACUAGGCCAAAUGCACAGAUGGACUAAUUUAGGGGAUUAAAAACAUUGUCCUGGCAGUUAAGGGACCAAAUGUAUAUAUUUAUGACUCAGGUUUUAGGCUAGAGAGAUAAAAGAAAAAUGUAAGAUUUGCCAGCAAGUAAAUGCUUAUACAGUAAAGAGUAAACAGGACAAAAGGCCUAAAAGAGAACAGCUGCCAAGGUUAGAAGAAGUUUUCCCGAGUUUCAGAGUGCCCAAGGUAAUUGGAUCAGAUAAUGGUUCUGUUUUUGUUUCUAAGGUAAGUCAGACAUUGACAGAGAUAUUGGGGACUAAUUGGAAACAUUAUUGGACGUACUGUCCCCAGGGCUCAAGGCAGGUAGAGAGAAUAAACAAAACCCUAUGAGAGAACUUAAUUAAAUUGACCUUGGAGCCUGGCUCAGGCUGGGUGGUGCUUCUCCCCUUGUUUCUGAACAGCCCCUACCAUUUUAACCUGACCCUCCUAGAGAUACUCUUUGAUACCCAACUCCUUUGGUGUCCACUGGGCCCUCCCAGGAGAUGUCCCACACUAUGUAAUUUGCCUUAAAUGCUCCAGGCAUGCCAGAGACUCUUCACUGCUUCCAGAUAGGUGACUGGAUCUGUAUAAGAAGGUUUCAGGAACAAUUGCUGAAACCCUGAUGAAAAAACCCUCACCAAAUUGACCACAAAGACUGGUGUUAAUGAUUAGAUAGCUCUCCUACCCUUUGUGCUCGUCAAGCUUUUGUUCUCUAGGCUGAAGGUGCUCAAGUGGAUGAGGCAGUGAGCAUAGAAGCAGCUCUGGGAGGACUACUCAGGAGGAGACUUGGAAGUCCCACACCGUUUCCAAGUUGGAGAUUCGGUCUACAUUAGACGCCACUGUGCAAAAUACCUUGAGACUUGGUGAAAAGGCCCUUAUCUUGUACUCUUGACCACCCUGCUUUCUGCUUUGAUGAGACCCUUUGUAAUUUUACUCCCUUGGCUUACAAUUGGAACCUGUGUAAUUAACCAGUUAAUAGUUUUUUAUUAGAGAAUAUAUAAGUGCUGUGUAGAUUCUUAUGCUAUGCCAACAAAAUCAGAGAUUAGGGCAGGACAAUCCAGAAUAUAUAGAGUCAGAGAUUUAAUUCUAUAGUUCUAAGAUUAGAACUCCUAACAAAAAAAGAAGAGGGGAAAUGAAGGGAGUUGGGACUUUUCAGAAUCCAUAGUUGAGGCAGCAAGCAGACCAGAGCCCGGGCACGCUGGACAAGCUUGAAGCAAGGUUGUGGUUGAGCCAUUCCACAAACAGACCAGCCAUAAAAGAUAAGGGGCAUGCCUGGGAAAACUCCUAUGGGUCAUACACUAUCUGGACUGGAGUCUCCUGUCUCCUGUCCCUUAGAUGCAGCUUAAAAUGACCUUCCUGCUAACAAAAAUAAACCACCCUCCUACAUUGCUGACAGCCCGAUCUGCAAAAAAACAAACAAACAAACAAACAAAAACCCACCCUGCGUGCCAGAAUCCCCUGCCAAUGUUUGAAUCAGCAAAUCAUGUGUAACCGUGUCAAACCCCCCUGACAACCCCCCUGACUUUUCCUAUAUAAAGCCCUAACUUUUGAGCCUCAGGGUCAACUCCACUGUCUCCUGUGUGAGAUACGUGUAGGCCCAGAGCUCUGAUAAUAAACUACCUCAUGCGUUUGCAUCAA